AGAGUUGUCAUGGCUCAGAACGAACGCUGGUGGCGUGUCUUAUACAUGCAAGUCGAGCGAGGCAGCAAUGCCGAGCGGCGAACGGGUGAGUAACGCGUAAGCAAUCUGCCCCAUAUCAGGAAAUACCCGUGCCAACGCGCGGUUAAUGUCCAGGAGAGUGGCCCUCCGCAUGGAGGGUUGACUAGAGAUUCAUCGGUAUGGGAUGAGCUUGCGUCCGAUUAGCUAGUUGGCGGGGCAACGGCCACCAAGGCGACGAUCGGUAGCCGGCCUGAGAGGGUGAUCGGCCACAUUGGGACUGAGAUACGGCCCAGACUCCUACGGGAGGCAGCAGUAGGGAAUAUUGCACAAUGGGGGAAACCCUGAUGCAGCAACGCCACGUGUGGGAAGAAGCAUUUCGGUGUGUAAACCACUGUCAUGAGGGAAUAAGGCCCGCCUUCGGACGGGAUUGAAUGUACCUUGAGAGGAAGCACCGGCAAACUUCGUGCCAGCAGCUGC
rnacentral:rRNA from 1 species